UCGUCCAAGCCCAAACAGUUUGAAGAGUAACUGUGAGACAUAUUAUUAAUAAGUUAACAGAAGCAACAGGUUCAGACUUGGUUGGACAGUGCCCUACUUUCAGCUGAAAGUGGCCUUGGAGAAUCUUGGAGAACUGAACUUGAUAAAACUGAUAACUUCCUAAACCAAGAGCAGUUUUAUAGAGUCAAUCCUUCUACUUUUGUACAAGGGAAAAAUGUUUGGACAAAUUCUUAACAUGGUAACCCAGGAACAGCAAAAAUAGCUCUAAAAACCUAUGCCAGAGAAGUCAAACCAUUUUCCCUAGGCCUAGUUUAUUCAUGAAACUGCUCUGAAAUCAAUUUUUUUCCCAAAACCAAUUGGCAUUCCUGGAGUCCCAUUUCCCUUUUCUUCUACAGUGCAAUCUGUUUUUCUUAUCAUCACUGGAUGCUUCAUACUCAACAAUGAACUGUGCUACAUGAGGACUGUACCACUAUUCCACAAGGUUAUUUUCUGCCAUCAUUCAUUCACUCCACAAACAAUGAACACCUGCUACAUGCUGGGCUCUGUACCAGGCAUCAAAGUUACAAAGUAAGUAAUAUGAAGCUUCUACCUGUUAAGAGUGGAGUCCAUGGGCUGGGGAUGUGGCUCAGCGGUAGCGCGCUCGCCU
rnacentral:lncRNA from 1 species